rnacentral:misc_RNA from 1 species
AACAUCGCGCACCUGCGGGAACCUGCGGAAGGAUCAUUAACAAUUGUCCAGUCUGCUUUGACUAUGGAUAAUUUAUCCAUAUCCACCUUGUGUGAACUAGAGAAACAUGAGUUGGCAGGUUUUUUCUUCCUGUAAGAGAAUAAGGGUGUGUAAAAACACCUUUACGAGAAUUGAUCUCGGCCUGCCAAUUUUUAUUGUCUCGACUCGUCUGUAACAUAUUAUGACUGAAAAUUAUUAAUU